rnacentral:rRNA from 1 species
UGCGUAGGCGGCCAAAUUAGUCAGGGGUGAAAGCUCGCAGCUCAACUGCGGAAUUGCCUUUGAUACUGUUUGGCUUGAAUCAGGAUGAGGUCAGCGGAAUGUGGCAUGUAGCGGUGAAAUGCAUAGAUAUGCCAUAGAAUACCAAUUGCGAAGGCAGCUGACUAGACCUGCAUUGACGCUGAGGCACGAAAGCGUGGGGAGCGAACAGGAUUAGAUACCCUGGUAGUCC